rnacentral:lncRNA from 1 species
UGUAAUUUAAUAUGAAUCAGAGACUUGAGUGACUAGUCGUUUUGGUCUUCACAUGUUUUAAGUGUACUGAAAAUAGAGCUGUUCGUGCACUAAACAAAAGGCAAACUGUUUUCAUAAACUUUUCUUUUUUAGUAUGUCAUUGAAAGUGCCCGACAGAGACCUCCUAAAAGGAAAUACCUGUCUAGUGGAAGAAAAUCUGUAUUUCAAAAACUUUAUGACUUAUAUAUUGAAGAAUGUGAAAAAGAGCCUGAGGUUAAGGUAAGUAUAAAUUUUUUAUGUUAUUAUUGCUUUUGAAAUGUGGAGGAAGAGGGACAUUUGAAGGAGUUAAAUUUGAAGCAGACAAUGAUUUAUAUUUUUGUGAAUGAGCUAACAUCUUUUCCAGCCAGACUAGCCAGUUCUGCAGCUGACCCAUAAUCUUGGCUAAUCUUUCACUGGGUGGAGUUGACCUGCCUAGGUAAGAGAGGUGAACAGUGUUUGCCAAAUAACGGAAAAUGUUUCCUUGAGAAGCCCAAAGAAGCAUAGUCACCGAAUAUGUUAUCUUUUGCUCCUAUUUUCUCAUGAUGAUUUGUACUGGAAAGUUAAAGCUAUUAUAAGGACAUGUAGGAAAUUCAGGUGUGAUAAUAAAAGAUGAACUUGGUCAUGGGGCA